UGACUUUUUGUGUAGCAAAUUUGUUUUAUAUUCAGUAUAUAUUUGUUUUGAUAUUGAAUCAAACAAUGCAAACUAAUAUACUUCAACCAUUUAUAAGUUCAUCGAUCAGUGAUCACGCGCAUCACAACAGCAAUUGAAUGUUCUCUUACUUCCUCACUGACAUAUGACCAACGAAAUUAACCUAAAUGUGUAUUCGAUGUAAAAGCAAAUGUCAAAAUUGCGUUAGUUUGCAUUUUUGUUGUGUGCAAGUAAACGAAAGAAUCAGAUCGUAUUUGUUGUCGCUCUCUUCAUAGACAAAUUUAUUUGUGGAUCGUACAGUGAAUAAUGAGAAAUAUCCAUCAAAUUGUAAGGGAAAAUACGCAUAUUCAUCGAUAAAUAAACUGAGAGAACCGGGAAAAUAAAAAGUGUAGAACACACCGAACGAGACGAAGCGAUAGCAAAAGGCGCACAGGCCAAAAGCACGCAAAAAAGUACCCAUCGAAAACAAUCUAGCCGAGGAACGAAACGGUUGCCGUGUUCGAGCGCGCGCUGUGUUGCACCAUUAAGCCGCUUUAAUAGUGAUCACAUCGAGUGCAGUCCAUGAGCGAGUGAGUGAGUGGUUGGUGCAAAUGCGAAAAAGAAAAUAAUUUUCCGUCAUUGAUUACUUUUUCGCGCACAUUUAAUUGGUUCGCGGCAAAGGUGCGAGGGAGUCUCCGCAUUCCACUCAAAUCACUCCGAUUGAGCUACGAUUGAAUAUUUCACGCUAUUUAUUUGUCAACGACGGAAAUCAUUAGCUAAUAACAAUAAUAGAGAUCGACCAUUAACAGUAUUUGCUGAUCAAUUGUUGUUGAUGUCGCUAAUCGUGGAGCCAAUGAAUUUUUGAUGAAAAACACCAAACAAUAAAAUUAUGAUCAAAGAUAAUGCCAUAAGACAUAAAGUGGAUACCAAAAUGGAAAUAGCUGAAACAAAAUGAAAAUUUCCACGAAAUGAUCAGGCUGACAGCUCAAGACCUAAUUAAUUGAUAGAUUUAAGAAAUGCUUUAAAUAUUUGGCUUUCAUUAAAUGCGUGCUAUUUGUGGUGGUUUUUAGGAAGCUGUUGGCAUGUUUCUCUGUUCAAUUUUUUUUUCUUCGCCUUUCGUUGUUUUUCUCUGAAAUAGCUCACAACAAAUACCAAAAUGUGUGUGUGUGUGUGUGUAUGUGUGUGUGUACAGUUUCAGCGGUCGACGAUCAAUGAAAAAUGUGAGGCGAUCAAUCAAAAAACUGUUUAAAUGCGAACACACACACACACACACACACACAAUUUGAUUGAUUUGAAAUCCGAAGCCAUUGUAAUCCCAAGCAUCACACAUCACUACACGAUGGCACGUCUCUCUAUCUAUCACUUCCUACCAGUGCAUGCACCCAUAACAAAUAGUUGGAUCAUAAGAAAUGAGUUGUUUUUAAGCCGUAUUCAACUUUGUUUUAUGAAUAUUCAAUGAUAAUUAAAGAUAAAAGAAUUUCCAUUGAAACAAAUGGACACAUAGAGGAGAAAAAAAA